GACGAACGCUGGCGGCGUGCUUAACACAUGCAAGUCGAGCGGUAAGGCCCUUUCGGGGGUACACGAGCGGCGAACGGGUGAGUAACACGUGGGUGACCUGCCCUCAGCUCUGGGAUAAGCCUGGGAAACCGGGUCUAAUACCGAUAUGACUCCAUGACGCAUGUUGUGGGGUGGAAAGCCUUGUGCGGCUGAGGAUGGGCCCGCGGCCUAUCAGCUUGUUGGUGGGGUGAUGGCCUACCAAGGCGACGACGGGUAGCCGGCCUGAGAGGGCGACCGGCCACACUGGGACUGAGACACGGCCCAGACUCCUACGGGAGGCAGCAGUGGGGAAUCUUGCGCAAUGGGCGAAAGCCUGACGCAGCGACGCCGCGUGAGGGAUGACGGCCUC
rnacentral:rRNA from 1 species